CCUACGGGAGGCUGCAGUGAGGAAUAUUGGUCAAUGGACGAGAGUCUGAACCAGCCAAGUAGCGUGAAGGAUGACUGCCCUAUGGGUUGUAAACUUCUUUUAUAUGGGAAUAAAAUGUUCCACGUGUGGGAUUUUGUAUGUACCAUAUGAAUAAGGAUCGGCUAACUCCGUGCCAGCAGCCGCGGUAAUACGGAGGAUCCGAGCGUUAUCCGGAUUUAUUGGGUUUAAAGGGAGCGUAGGUGGAUUGUUAAGUCAGUUGUGAAAGUUUGCGGAUCAACCGUAAAAUUGCAGUUGAAACUGGCAGUCUUGAGUACAGUAGAGGUGGGCGGAAUUCGUGGUGUAGCGGUGAAAUGCUUAGAUAUCACGAAGAACUCCGAUUGCGAAGGCAGUUCACUGGACUGCAACUGACACUGAGGCUCGAAAGUGUGGGUAUCAAACAGGAUUAGAUACCCUAGUAGUC
rnacentral:rRNA from 1 species